rnacentral:rRNA from 1 species
AGUGAACGCUGGCGGUAGGCCUAACACAUGCAAGUCGAACGGCAGCACAGUAAGAGCUUGCUCUUACGGGAGGCGAGUGGCGGACGGGUGAGGAAUACAUCGGAAUCUACUUUUUCGUGGGGGAUAACGUAGGGAAACUUACGCUAAUACCGCAUACGACCUACGGGUGAAAGCAGGGGAUCUUCGGACCUUGCGCGAUUGAAUGAGCCGAUGUCGGAUUAGCUAGUUGGCGGGGUAAAGGCCCACCAAGGCGACGAUCCGUAGCUGGUCUGAGAGGAAGAUCAGCCACACUGGAACUGAGACACGGUCCAGACUCCUACGGGAGGCAGCAGUGGGGAAUAUUGGACAAUGGGCGCAAGCCUGAUCCAGCCAUACCGCGUGGGUGAAGAAGGCCUUCGGGUUGUAAAGCCCUUUUGUUGGGAAAGAAAAGCAGCAGGUUAAUACCCCGCUGUUCUGACGGUACCCAAAGAAUAAGCACCGGCUAACUUCGUG